AGUGGAUCUGGAAUGGCCUAAGCCUUGCUAUAUCAAGCUUUUCUAGAGACAGAUUCUAAUCUGCAUGCUUAUGGUUAAAGGAGGCAUUGUAAUAUGGCACAUGACCAAGAAAGCACCCUCAGCCUGUUUCUUCAGGAGUGUCAGAGUUCUCAGGACAUCACGGGGAAGCACAGGAUCUACAGUGACUACAAUAACCAAGUGCUACAAAAACGCUGUGACGAGGAAUCUGAACAACAGAGAUUUGAGGGAAACAAAACACUUUCGACGAAGGUCCUGCUGCUUGUCUUCAGCUUGGUACCAAUUAGAGCUUCACUGGAGGUGAAAAGACAUUGACAGAAAGAACAUUAAUAAGAACAGAGAAGCAGAGAAGCCUUGGAAAUCAUGCUUUUAUCUGAAUGGAGGAAGAAAUAAAAGGAGAGGUAAAAUGAAAUCUUGCCACACUGCAUGCUCCCUCUUCUCUUUGUUCCUGUCCAUUUCUAAUAUUAAAAUAAGAACCUUUCUUAACUAA
rnacentral:lncRNA from 1 species